AGAUUUAAUAAUCCUGUUCAGAUCAUGAUCCUAACCAUAGAGAAGCUCAGAGCUGCGUGAAGCAUUAAGUUCCAAACAUGACACUGCUGGCUUAUAGGGUAUUAUCACACAAAUAUGAUAGUUAUUUUUUUUGCUAUAAGUCAGAAGAAGGGGGUUAGCAUGCAUCGUAUCGUUUAUCGUGAUAAUAAUUUGGAUUCAUCGUUGUCAUGAUGAAUUCCAAUUAAUGUUUAAACUGAACUGAUCACGGAGUUACAGAAAUAAAUGAACUUUUAAACCAUUCUUUGAAUGAGUCGGUGUACUAAAAACUGGACAUGGCCUGAAACUUGCAGUUUGAGGUUCGCAGCGAAAAACCUGCAUGCAGAAUAUAAAACAUUUUUUAUAUUUCUAUCUUGUGAGGGAAAACGGUGAUGCAAACAGAAGGAGGAGCUGAACAUAAACCUCUGCUCACUGUCCACCACACACCGACAGUAAGCAGACCCUCCCACCUCUAGUGAAGUCAGAGCUCUGAGUUCAGUCGGCUCACAACACAGUCAUGGUCCCAGCUGCUCUCAUAAAGCUCUCUGCAGCUCUGCUCUGGCUUGGAGGUCUAACAGACGGCAGUGAUGUCACUCAGACUCCUCUGCUGUGGGCCAACCAGAGUCAGUCUGCCACCAUCAACUGCAGUCAAAAUAAAGAUGUUGAUCACAACCAGAUGUACUGGUACCAGCAGCUGCCGGGUCAGAACAUGAAGCAAAUAGUUUUCACCAGAGCGUACAGCGCUGCACAGUAUGAAGAAGGCUUCAGCAAGGAGAAGUUUGAAGUAGAGAAGAAAGACGCUUACACCGGGUCUCUGACAGUGAAGCAGCUGCAGCCUGAAGACGGCGGAGUGUAUUUCUGUUCUGUCAGUAAACACAGUGAUGCAGCCGAUUAAAGAGCUGCACAAAAACCCAGACAGUGAAAGAAAACGUCUGUUUUAACCUGUAGAUGGAGCUAAAGAGCAGAGUAGACUGGAUUUUAUACACGCAGGUAUAUCUUUACAUCUUUUACAUGUUUCAGUGAAUAGUAAAAACUAAUUUAAAAAAAGAUUUAUUGUGAUGAAUGUUUAUAAUUCCGAGUAAAAAAUAAGUUCAAGCACACUUAGUAGCCACAACGACAAUAGCAGUUUUCAAACAAUAUGCCCGGCAUCUUGAGCCAAGUUCUGUUUGAUUGUUAUAUCUGUAUUUUGAUAUGAGCACCAUGUCUGUUCUAGCUUGUGUGUGUGUGUUUGGUCAAACUUUAAAUAGUUUUAUGGCGAUCCAAACUCCACAAAAUACAUUUUAAUUAUGCAACUUGACCCAUUUUUGCUUGAUUGUUGCACUGGUAGGUCACUGAAAAACACGGUGGUGACUGAUAUAAACAGUGCAUGAGAUAUAUUCAUAAUUCAGCCGUGACACUCACGAUCAUAAUCUAUCAGCCAUAGAGGAGUUUUAUUCAGGCAUUGGAGCAACAAGCCCCUUAUGGAUCUCCUGCGUGUUUAU